rnacentral:rRNA from 1 species
UUUGGUGACUCGAGCGGCGGGGACACACCCGGUCCCAUCCCGAACCCGGAAGUUAAGCCCGCCAGCGCCGAUGGUACUUGGCUGGAGACGGCCUGGGAGAGUAGGUCGUUGCCAGGG